rnacentral:rRNA from 1 species
CAGUCGCCGCGGGAAUACGUAGGUGGCAAGCGUUGUCCGGAAUUAUUGGGCGUAAAGGGCUCGCAGGCGGCUUCUUAAGUCUGAUGUGAAAGCCCCCGGCUCAACCGGGGAGGGUCAUUGGAAACUGGGAAACUUGAGUGCAGAAGUGGAGAGUGGAAUUCCACGUGUAGCGGUGAAAUGCGUAGAGAUGUGGAGGAACACCAGUGGCGAAGGCGACUCUCUGGUCUGUAACUGACGCUGAGGAGCGAAAGUGUGGGGAGCGAACAGGAUUAGAUACCCGCGUAGUCCCUGUCUCUUAUAC